AGUGAACGCUGGCGGUAGGCCUAACACAUGCAAGUCGAACGGCAGCACGGGAGAGCUUGCUCUCUGGGUGGCGAGUGGCGGACGGGUGAGGAAUACAUCGGAAUCUACUCUGUCGUGGGGGAUAACGUAGGGAAACUUACGCUAAUACCGCAUACGACCUACGGGUGAAAGCAGGGGACCUUCGGGCCUUGCGCGAUUGAAUGAGCCGAUGUCGGAUUAGCUAGUUGGCGGGGUAAAGGCCCACCAAGGCGACGAUCCGUAGCGGGUCUGAGAGGAUGAUCAGCCACACUGGAACUGAGACACGGUCCCGACUCCUACGGGAGGCAGCAGUGGGGAAUAUUGGACAAUGGGCGCAAGCCUGAUCCAGCCAUACCGCGUGGGUGAAGAAGGCCUUCGGGUUGUAAAGCCCUUUUGUUGGGAAAGAAAUCCAGCUGGCUAAUACCCGGUUGGGAUGACGGUACCCAAAGAAUAAGCACCGGCUAACUUCGUGCCAGCAGCCGCCGCCG
rnacentral:rRNA from 1 species